GUAAACUAAAAUUUGUUUUCAUUGUAGUUUUCAGCGAAGAACAGUCUCCCCCCUCUCUCUCUCUCUCUCUCCAACCGAAGCGUAGGAGAAAGAGGCAGACUCCCUGGCUAUCUUCUCCGCCAUUGUUUCUCGGUCACCGAACCGCCGUAGAGUACUUCAAGACGCCAUUGAUUGAUUGUAGCUACUGGUUGAGCUGUAAUUGAAGAUGAAAAAGAGUGUGAAGAGUGAUAGUAGAGUUCCGAAAUCUCCAUCAGCGUUGAUUCUGGAUAUAGAUGACUUUAAGGGUGAGUUUUCAUUUGAUGCAUUAUUUGGGAACUUGGUAAAUGAAUUACUUCCGUCUUUUCAAGAAGAAGAAGCAGAUUCAGCAGAGGGGCAUCGGAACAUUGGUGGGAGUGAUAUCUUAGCAAAUGGGCAUGCAAGAGCCUCCUCUGAUGUAGCAAAACUUGCACAAGGGCAGUCCGCUUUAUUUCCAGAAGUAGAUGCUCUCCUGUCUCUAUUCAGGGACUCUUGCAGUGAGUUAAUUGAUCUUCGAAAACAGAUUGAUGGAAAGCUCUCCAAUCUGAGGAAAGAUGUUUCUGCCCAAGAUUCUAAGCACCGCAAAACACUGGCUGAGUUGGAACAAGGUGUGGAUGGAUUGUUUGGUAGCUUUGCAAGGUUGGACUCACGCAUUUCAAGUGUUGGACAGACUGCUGCAAAAAUAGGAGAUCAUUUGCAAAGUGCAGAUGCUCAGAGGGAAACUGCCAGCCAAACGAUAGACCUCAUUAAGUACCUGAUGGAGUUUAAUGGUAGCCCAGGUGAUUUAAUGGAACUUUCGCCUUUGUUUUCAGAUGACAGCCGUGUUGCUGAGGCUGCUUCAAUUGCACAGAAAUUACGUAACUUUGCUGAGGAAGAUAUGGGAAGACAAGGCAUAUCUGUUCCAUCAGUUAUGGGAAAUGCAACUGCUAGCAGAGGAUUAGAAGUUGCAGUUGCUAAUCUUCAGGACUACUGCAAUGAACUGGAGAACAGGUUGUUGGCUCGAUUUGAUGCAGCAUCUCAGAGAAGAGAAUUGUCUACCAUGGCAGAAUGUGCUAAAAUUUUAUCUCAGUUUAACAGGGGCACCAGUGCAAUGCAACAUUAUGUAGCAACACGGCCAAUGUUCAUUGAUGUGGAAGUCAUGGAUGCAGACGCGAGAUUGGUUCUUGGUGAUCAGGUUUCUCAAGCUAGUCCCAGUAAUGUUGCUCGUGGGCUUUCUUCAUUGUACAAAGGAAUUACAGACACGGUUCGUAAAGAGGCAGCCACAAUCAUGGCAGUAUUUCCUUCUCCUAAUGAUGUCAUGUCAAUUUUAGUGCAGCGAGUUUUGGAGCAGCGAAUUACAGCCCUUUUGGACAAAUUGUUAGUCAAACCUUCUCUUGUGACUUUACCUCCUGUGGAAGAAGGUGGACUUUUAUUGUAUCUUAGAAUGCUAGCAGUAGCAUAUGAAAAGACUCAGGAACUUGCUAGAGACCUACGAGCUGUGGGAUGUGGUGACUUGGAUGUUGAGGGCCUCACAGAAUCUCUCUUUUCUUUGCACAAGGAUGAGUAUCCUGAACAUGAGCAGGCCUCUCUUAGACAAUUAUAUCAAGCAAAGAUGGAAGAAUUGCAUGCUGAGAGCCAGCACCUUUCUGAGUCAACCGGGACAAUUGGGCGAUCAAAAGGAGCUUCUGUAGCAUCUUCCCACCAACAGAUAUCUGUUACUGUUGUGACAGAAUUUGUGCGUUGGAAUGAAGAAGCAAUAUCAAGAUGCAAUCUGUUUACAUCUCAACCUAGUAUCCUUGCAGCCAAUGUGAAAGCAGUGUUCACUUGCUUGCUAGACCAAGUUGCACAAUAUAUAACAGAAGGUCUUGAAAGGGCUAGAGACGGCCUGACUGAAGCUGCAGCUUUGAGGGAAAGAUUUGUUCUUGGCACAAGUGUUAGUAGAAGGGUGGCUGCAGCAGCUGCUUCUGCAGCAGAAGCUGCUGCUGCUGCUGGUGAGAGCAGUUUCAGAUCUUUCAUGGUUGCUGUACAACGGUGUGGCAGUAGUGUGGCUAUAGUUCAGCAAUAUUUUGCAAAUUCUAUAUCUCGCCUCUUACUGCCUGUGGAUGGUGCUCAUGCGGCUUCAUGUGAAGAAAUGGCAACAGCUAUGUCCAGUGCUGAGGCUGCUGCUUAUAAAGGGCUUCAGCAGUGCAUUGAAACUGUUAUGGCUGAGGUAGAGCGAUUGCUAUCAGCUGAACAAAAGGCAACAGAUUAUCGAUCACCAGAUGAUGGUUUUAAUCCUGAUCAUAGACCUACGAAUGCUUGCACAAGAGUGGUGGCAUACCUUUCUCGUGUGCUUGAGGCUGCAUUCACUGCAUUAGAAGGUCUUAACAAACAAGCAUUCCUCACUGAAUUGGGAAAUCGCUUACAUAAAGAACUGCUUAAUCACUGGCAGAAAUUCACUUUUAACCCCAGUGGAGGACUGCGGCUGAAACGUGACAUAACUGAGUAUGGAGAAUUUGUGCGAAGUUUCAAUGCUCCUUCUGUUGAUGAGAAAUUUGAAUUAUUGGGCAUAAUGGCAAAUGUAUUCAUUGUGGCUCCUGAAAGCCUCUCCUCUUUGUUUGAGGGUACCCCCAGCAUCCGUAAAGAUGCGCAAAGGUUUAUUGAGCUUAGAGAGGAUUACAAGAGUGCAAAACUUGCAUCCAAGCUUAGCUCCUUGUGGACGAGUUCUAGUUGAUAAAGAAAUGGCAGGCUGACAUAUGCAGCUUCCCUUAAUUCUUUGGAUCUCUUACAUCAGAGCAUCAAUAUAUGUUGCCUCAAGCUGUUCCAGAUGUUGUGGGAACUGUGAAGUUUGAUUGUUUUGUUAGCUAUAAGACCAUGUUAAACAGCUGGUUGCAAAUCAAGCUUUUUUCCUAUGCCAUUGAGCCAUCAGUGGGCAGGAAAUCAGCGUCCCUUGAACUCUUGAUGGGGACUUUCCUGCGGGGUCGCAAUUGAACUUGAUGGUACCUUGGGCCCAGACUCCAUCCAUCAUUGCUUGGUCUAGAGGACUGGUUAGAUGAGAUUUGCUCUUGUAGCCAUGUCCACAAAAGUCGACUCCAUUUGUUUUAACUUGAGUUGUGGUCGCUUUCUAGAAUGUAUAUGGUUCGUUGUCUCUGAAUAUUGGUGGAGAAAUACGAGGGGCGGACCAAGGUUGAAAGGAAAGAUCUACAACGUGUGGCGUUGAGCUGAAUUGUGGAAGAUCUAGGGUAUAAUCUCACUAACUGCAUGAUUCUAUAAGCUGGACUCGACUUAAGUACUUUACCAUGUCCCUUUUGCUACUAUUGUCUUGGGAAAUUUAAACAAUAUAACUUGGUGUGUGUGUGUAUAUAUAUAUAU